AUAAAACACGCUUUUUCUAUGCUUUACAGUCUGAUAAAACAUAGGUUUUUGACCAAUCAGAGCGCGCGCUGGAUCCUGUCUAUAUUUUAAAUAUAUGUAAACCGAAGUUGGACGAUUAAUGAUGACA